rnacentral:misc_RNA from 1 species
AMCCAACACUGGCACUGCCGUACACUCACCAAUAAUUACACACACGAUACAGUCCGAGGGACGAAAAACGCCGGUUGACUGCUCAUGGUAUUGAGAAAGUAUGGAUACACGAAUUAAAACGAUCCAAGCUACAACGGUAGCACCUGUUGACCGGGCCAUACCUUAUAACACAAACUACCACAAAUAGACAUGGCGGGGAGCAGAAYAGGUUCACACACCCCC